rfam:Choloepus hoffmanni cont1.19941, whole genome shotgun sequence.
GGGAGGGGAAGAGGGCGCACGGUUGGGUUGCGACCCGUGGCGGUGAGGACAGGACAG